CAAUAAGCGGAGGAAAAGAAACCAACUGGGAUUGCCUUAGUAACGGCGAGUGAAGCGGCAAUAGCUCAAAUUUGAAAGCUGGCCCCUUUGGGGUCCGCGUUGUAAUUUGUAGAGGAUGAUUCGGCGAGGGCUCCCGUCUAAGUCCCCUGGAACGGGGCGUCAUAGAGGGUGAGAAUCCCGUAUGUGAUGGGUUGCCUUAGCCAUGUGAAUCUCCUUCGACGAGUCGAGUUGUUUGGGAAUGCAGCUCUAAAUGGGAGGUAAAUUUCUUCUAAAGCUAAAUACCGGCCAGAGACCGAUAGCGCACAAGUAGAGUGAUCGAAAGAUGAAAAGCACUUUGGAAAGAGAGUUAAAAAGUACGUGAAAUUGUUGAAAGGGAAGCGCUUGCAGCCAGACUUGUCCGCAGUUGCUCAGCCGGUCUCCUGACCGGCGUACUCUUCUGCGGCCAGGCCAGCAUCAGUUCGGGCGGUCGGAUAAAGACCUCGGGAAUGUAGCUCCUCUCGGGGAGUGUUAUAGCCCGGGGUGGAAUGCGGCCAGCCUGGACUGAGGAUCUCGCUUCGGCUAGGAUGCUGGCGUAAUGGCUGUAAGCGGCCCGUCUUGAAACACGGACCAAGGAGUCUAACAUCUAUGCGAGUGUUUGGGUGUCAAACCCAUACGCGUAAUGAAAGUGAACGGAGGUGGGAACCCUCACGGGUGCACCAUCGACCGAUCCUGAUGUCUUCGGAUGGAUUUGAGUAUGAGCAUAGCUGUUGGGACCCGAAAGAUGGUGAACUAUGCCUGAAUAGGGUGAAGCCAGAGGAAACUCUGGUGGAGGCUCGCAGCGGUUCUGACGUGCAAAUCGAUCGUCAAAUUUGGGUAUAGGGGCGAAAGACUAAUCGAACCAUCUAGUAGCUGGUUCC
rnacentral:rRNA from 1 species